UAAAUUAAAAAAAAAUUUUCAGUUCGCUUGUAAUCCCAAUAAACGCAAAAGAAAAAUAUUUAACAAUGAAACAAUGAGUACAGGAAAUAAUAUCAAAUUGCAACUAUUUUAUAAUCGUAUAUUUUUAAGUAAUGAAUGAUUAUCGUAAUGGUCUUCCAAAGUUGGCGACUUUGCGGAGUGACAGCAACAAUUGUCGUUUAUAUUGGUGGCGUGUUGUUCUUAACGAUGAACAAUGUUCCAGGGUCGCAUCCAAAGCGUGUUCGAUUCGAACAUUUCGCAGAGUUUUCUAAUUACCGAAGUCAGAGGGUUUCUGGUCUUAAUCGAAAGAUGACUAUUAGAUGGUGCAAAGAACUAAAAUACAUGCAAUCUGAGCUUCCAGUAGACACUACAACAUCUGAAUAUAAUACUCCUUAUCAAGUCGAGCCGAGAAUACAGAUGGGAUUAACAGCAUUGGCUUCAUUUCCGGGCAGUGGAAAUACGUGGCUGCGGUAUUUAUUACAACAAUCCACAGGCAUUUUGACUGGAAGUAUAUACAAGGAUUACGGUUUAUUGAAAACGGGCUUCCCAGCUGAAAAUGUUUGUAAUAAUUCAGUAUUGUUGGUGAAAACGCAUGAAUGGGGUCCUAAAGCCUGGGCGUUAUUUUCUAAAGCUUUACUUUUAGUGCGAGACCCAGAAAAAGCCAUUUUAGCUGAAUUUAAUCGACAAAGUGGUGGUCAUGUGGGUUUCGCAUCUCCAGAUCGUUACAAGCGAACUAGAGGCAAAUAUUGGCAACAAUUUGUAGCAAACAAACUGCAUGGUUGGGAGCUUAUGAAUAUUAAUUGGGCUCGAAAUUUCACAGGAAAUAUAAAAAUUAUUUUUUAUGAAGAUUUGGUCAACAAACUCGAACCAGUGUUAAGAAAUAUAUUAGAAUUUCUGGAGUUUCCUAUUAACGAGACCCUUUUGAAUUGUGCACUGGUGAGAAAAGAGGGCAUCUUCCGAAGAAAAAAGCGUAUUUUGUCAUUCGAUCCUUAUACACCAGCAAUGAGAGUUCAAUUGAGAGAAAAAAAACAGUACGUAUAUACAAUAUUGGGACGAUUGAGUUGAGAUGGGAAAAUAAUGUGGUGUAAUAAAUCAAAUUGCUGCAAUGUAAUGUUAGCAUAAAUCCGUUUUAAAACUCUAAUAAAUAUAUAUGCAGAGUAUUUUACUUACACGUUGGCUUACUCACCUAAAUGUUUGCCUUAAUAGGUAAAGGUAAGAAAAGUUUUAACUCCAUAGCAGAACUAAUCAUUUUAUAAUUGGCUCAUUGUGCGUUACAUAAAGCCCACAAACGAAAAGAAAUUUGUUAAAAUUUGAACUAUUUUUCCCUAAACUUUCAGGAGUCGUUCGACGAAAUUUAGACUAUUUGUUAUUUUUUGAGUAAAGGGGAUAUGAUGAAAUGAUUACAAUCGAUAUUGAACAAUACUCGUGAAUCGUUGUCAUUAUAUGUUAUAUUACAUUUCCUAGCGAUAAUAAACAUAUGUAGGCAUAUUAAAAACUUUCAUAUAUCCUAAAAACGUACCACAUAAACGGCUUGCAUAUUUUUCACGACGUUAAAAAAGCUACUUCGGCUCGAGUCGAAUUUUUAAAAUAUUAAUAGCUUCGUUGAAUUUAAUUCCAAAAUAGAACGAUGGUCCCCUAUACAUAACAAACACUAAAAAUUAAACAUAAUAUUUAAAUAAAUCAUUUAAUUCAUAUACAGGCAUUUCUUCAAAUUGAACCCAGGCCGAUUGUUUUUGGCAUCGAAAGUUUAAUAAGGGAAACCUAAAGAAACAUGAAAAGUUUAUAAGUAAGGCUUUGAGGUCAUAAAUUAAGAACGAAAGGAUAUUGUCGAUUAUUUGGGAAUAGUGUAAAGGCCCGUACACCAAAUUCGGGAUGUCCGUUAUGUAGUAUAUGUAAUAAGUAUUUGACGAAUUUGUAAGACACAUUAUUCAAUUAUUGGGUAUAAAUUCAAAUCUUAACAAUUUGACUAAUGUAGAUAAGCUUAUUUUGUCUACUUUUGAUAGCAUUACGUUGGCUCAGACGCUGUUUUCGUUUGCUGGUACCGUGCGAAGUCAUUUUCCAAGGACGUAUAACAACGUAUUUCGAUAUUAUUGACUAAUCUUGGAAAAUUUAUUACAUUAUCAGUCGUAAUACAAUUGAUUUAUCACCAUAAAAAUUGUGAGUUGAAUUGGGCGCAUAUAAUCUAAGUAACAAUAUUAAUACUAAUUUGUAAAUUAAUUUGUUAAAAAGAAAACAAUUUUAUUUUUUAUUAAUAAAUAAUUUACUAAUAUUUACUUCGUAUAUGUACGUAAAUAUAUGAUUAUAGUGGUGAAAUAAAGCACUAACCUAAAUUUUCUGAAUCCAAUAGAUAUUUAUACCUCGACCUGUAUUUAGAAAUAAUAUUGUUGAUUAUCUUAAAAUAAUGAUAUAGUAUAACUUUUUUGAGAAGCUGGGCAAAGGAUCAGAGAAAACUUUUUUAUAUGCAGUCAAUAACUAAUUUAAAUAAUCUGCAACUCUACUAGUGCAUGCCCCAGCCGAUUCGAACACAGGCAGUGUGAAUAAUCGAAGAUGUGGUGGUGCGACCGAUCGAUAUAUUGUGAAAAAAUAUAAAUAAAAAUAUAU